AGAUCAUUAAAUACAUGAUAUAUUCAGAUUUUUAUAGUUUACAGGUCAUUAAAUACAUGAUAUAUUCAGAAUAUUAUAGUUUACAGGUCAUUAAAUACAUGAUAUAUUCAGAUUAUUAUACCUUACAGCUCAUUAAAUACAUGAUAUAUUAUAGUUUACAGGUGAUACAGAGGAACUUACAGCAGCUAACACACAAGAAGCUUUACAUUACACAAUAUACACUGCAGUAUUUCAACACACACACACACACACGUAUAAGAAUCACACAGUUUAAAAAGAUUUAAUAAAAUAGUUCUGUCUAAAAGGUGUUUUGGUGCUAACAGGUGCCUGGUCUCUCAGAGGGAAAGUGUGUGUGUCAGUCAGUCCCCACUGUCCUGGUUGGGGAAGGUGUAGUUAUCAUGCCUCUCCACACAGGGGUGCUGUUUCACACACUGCCUCAGCCUCCAAACCGGUCUUCUCCUCACAAACCUACAAAGACAGGACACACAUUGCUAGGUGGUGUAUGUUUCGGGUGUGUUUAGUUGUGGUGUGAGUCUGUAGUGGUGUGAGUCUGUAGUGGUGUGAGUCUGUGGUGAGGCUCUGUGGUGAGUCUCUGUGGUGAGUCUGUGUGUGGUGGUUACAUGGGGCUCUGUGAUGAGUCUCUGUGGGGAGUCUGUAGUGAGAGUCUGUGGUGAGUCUGUGUGGUGGUUACAUGGGGCUCUGUGAUGAGUCUCUGUGGGGAGUCUGUGGUGAGAGUCUGUGGUGAGAGUCUGUGGUGAGUCUGUGUGGUGGUUACUUGGGGCUCUGUGAUGAGUCUCUGUGGGGAGUCUGUAGUGAGAGUCUGUGGUGAGAGUCUGUGGUGAGUCUGUGUGGUGGUUACUUGGGGCUCUGUGAUGAGUCUCUGUGGAGAGUCUGUGGUGAGUCUGUGUGGUGGUUACUUGGGGCUCUGUGAUGAGUCUCUGUGGGGAGUCUGUGGUGAGAGUCUGUGGUGAGUCUGUGUGGGGAGUCUGUAGUGAGAGUCUGUGGUGAGAGUCUGUGGUGAGUCUGUGUGGUGGUUACUUGGGGCUCUGUGAUGAGUCUCUGUGGGGAGUCUGUGGUGAGAGUCUGUGGUGAGUCUGUGUGGGGAGUCUGUAGUGAGAGUCUGUGGUGAGAGUCUGUGGUGAGUCUGUGUGGUGGUUACUUGGGGCUCUGUGAUGAGUCUCUGUGGGGAGUCUGUGGUGAGUCUGUGUGGUGGUUACUUGGGGCUCUGUGAUGAGUCUCUGUGGGGAGUCUGUAGUGAGAGUCUGUGGUGAGUCUGUGUGGUGGUUACUUGGGGCUCUGUGAUGAGUCUCUGUGGGGGAUCUGUAGUGAGAGUCUGUGGUGAGAGUCUGUGGUGAGUCUGUGUGGUGGUUACUUGGGGCUCUGUGAUGAGUCUCUGUGGGGAGUCUGUAGUGAGAGUCUGUGGUGAGAGUCUGUGGUGAGUCUGUGUGGUGGUUACAUGGGGCUCUGUGAUGAGUCUCUGUGGGGAGUCUGUAGUGAGAGUCUGUGGUGAGAGUCUGUGGUGAGUCUGUGUGGUGGUUACUUGGGGCUCUGUGAUGAGUCUCUGUGGGGAGUCUGUAGUGAGAGUCUGUGGUGAGAGUCUGUGGGGAGUCUGUGGUGAGUCUGUGUGGUGGUUACUUGGGGCUCUGUGAUGAGGCUCUGUGGGGAGUCUGUGGUGAG
rnacentral:lncRNA from 1 species